GCAAAGCAGGGGAAAAUGCCAGCGGAGAAAGUGGAAGAGUGCCACAGAAAAGUUACCGCAUAUGUGGUGAAAAGACUGCAUCCCUUCUCUGACGUAGAAUCGCCAACGUUCAGAACGAAUUCAACAAAUUACAGUAACCAUUACUGUGUGUGGGAUAUGAUCCAUUCUAUCAACCCCAAGUACACCCCCCCUACCA